rnacentral:rRNA from 1 species
ACGCUGGCGGCGUGCCUAAUACAUGCAAGUAGAACGCUGAAGAGAGGAGCUUGCUCUUCUUGGAUGAGUUGCGAACGGGUGAGUAACGCGUAGGUAACCUGCCUUGUAGCGGGGGAUAACUAUUGGAAACGAUAGCUAAUACCGCAUAACAAUAGGUGACACAUGUCAUUUAUUUGAAAGGGGCAAUUGCUCCACUACAAGAUGGACCUGCGUUGUAUUAGCUAGUAGGUGAGGUAACGGCUCACCUAGGCGACGAUACAUAGCCGACCUGAGAGGGUGAUCGGCCACACUGGGACCGAGACACGGCCCAGACUCCUACGGGAGGCAGCAGUAGGGAAUCUUCGGCAAUGGGGGCAACCCUGACCGAGCAACGCCGCGUGAGUGAAGAAGGUUUUCGGAUCGUAAAGCUCUGUUGUAAGUCAAGAACAAGUGUGAGAGUGGAAAGUUCACACUGUGACGGUAGCUUACCAGAAAGGGACGGCUAACUACGUGCCAGCAGCCGCGGUAAUACGUAGGUCCCGAGCGUUGUCCGGAUUUAUUGGGCGUAAAGCGAGCGCAGGCGGUUUGAUAAGUCUGAAGUUAAAGGCUGUGGCUCAACCAUAGUUCGCUUUGGAAACUGUCAAACUUGAGUGCAGAAGGGGAGAGUGGAAUUCCAUGUGUAGCGGUGAAAUGCGUAGAUAUAUGGAGGAACACCGGUGGCGAAAGCGGCUCUCUGGUCUGUAACUGACGCUGAGGCUCGAAAGCGUGGGGAGCGAACAGGAUUAGAUACCCUGGUAGUCCACGCCGUAAACGAUGAGUGCUAGGUGUUGGAUCCUUUCCGGGAUUCAGUGCCGCAGCUAACGCAUUAAGCACUCCGCCUGGGGAGUACGACCGCAAGGUUGAAACUCAAAGGAAUUGACGGGGGCCCGCA